GACGAACGCUGACGGCGUGCCUAAUACAUGCAAGUAGAACGCACAGUUUAUACCGUAGCUUGCUACACCAUAGACUGUGAGUUGCGAACGGGUGAGUAACGCGUAGGUAACCUGCCUGGUAGCGGGGGAUAACUAUUGGAAACGAUAGCUAAUACCGCAUAAUAUUGAUUAUUGCAUGAUAAUUAAUUGAAAGGUGCAAUUGCACCACUACCAGAUGGACCUGCGUUGUAUUAGCUAGUAGGUGAGGUAACGGCUCACCUAGGCGACGAUACAUAGCCGACCUGAGAGGGUGAUCGGCCACACUGGGACUGAGACACGGCCCAGACUCCUACGGGAGGCAGCAGUAGGGAAUCUUCGGCAAUGGACGAAAGUCUGACCGAGCAACGCCGCGUGAGUGAAGAAGGUUUUCGGAUCGUAAAGCUCUGUUGUAAGAGAAGAACGGGUGUGAGAGUGGAAAGUUCACACUGUGACGGUAUCUUACCAGAAAGGGACGGCUAACUACGUG
rnacentral:rRNA from 1 species